UACGUAGGGCGCAAGCGUUAUCCGGAAUUAUUGGGCGUAAAGCGCUCGUAGGCGGUUUGUCGCGUCUGCCGUGAAAGUCCGGGGCUCAACUCCGGAUCUGCGGUGGGUACGGGCAGACUAGAGUGAUGUAGGGGAGACUGGAAUUCCUGGUGUAGCGGUGAAAUGCGCAGGUAUCAGGAGGAACACCGAUGGCGAAGGCAGGUCUCUGGGCAGUAACUGACGCUGAGGAGCGAAAGCAUGGGGAGCGAACAGG
rnacentral:rRNA from 1 species